rnacentral:snoRNA from 1 species
UUACAUGAUGACACCUUGUCGCCCCAAACAGAUUAUCGUUUACAAUAUGAUCGAUUCGAUUCAUGCCAAACACUGAAAAUUCUGAUC